ACGGUCCGGUUCCGCGUGCCUCUCGAACGAGACGAGCCAUCAGUCCGUAGCGACGCGUCCCCGGGGCAAGUCGCUACACAAUGUUGUCACGUUGUUUGUCAGGUUUUCGUCUGGAUGCCAUGGUGUAUCAUGGAUUCGCGAUACUCGUUUUGUUUUCUGUUCUCCUCGUGUCGUGUCCUGUUACCUGUCAAGAGACGUUAACGAAUCGGAUGCGUGUAAUCAGCGAGGAUCUGGACCGGCAGCUAAACGGAAUCAUGGCCUUGCAAGCUCUCAACUACACGACGAUGAACACAACUGGACUGCCAUACAACGCCACCACGAAGUUCAACCCCAAGGGCAUGGGCCAGCUGUACAACGUGACCAACACGUUCAUCGACUUCGUGCAGAGCAAACAAGCAUAUCCAGAGGGAAUGUUUAGCGUUAUAGAUGGAAUACCAGCAUUCCAGUACACCCUGUCCGAAUGGAGGAUCAUCGUGACUCAUUACGGUGGUCUGGCAGGUCUAGCUUUCGUUGGUCUUCUGUUGGCGGCGAUUUUACCCUGCGUCGGAUUAUUCUUCUGUUGCUGCAGAUGCGCUGGCCAUUGCGGUGCUAGGAGUCAACCGUUCGACAAGAAACACGAUCAUUGUAGAAAAGUGUUACUGAGUAUGGUGCUGAUCGCAGUGGCUACUAUUAUAUUGUUUGGCGUAGUCUGUGCGUUCGUGACGAACGAGUACAUGCAAGAUGGCACCAAGGAACUACCGAGCAACGUCAAGACCAGCCUGAAGGACGUGAAACUAUACCUAAGCACCACCAAGCAGGAGAUCAAUAAUCUUCUCAAAACUAAUUUCGACGAACUCGAAAUUAAUUUAAACAACAUCCUGCAAGCGAGUGGCCGAAUCGUGACUGAACAGCUUGCCGAAUAUUCCCAUGCAGUCUCUUUGACUAAUCUCAGCGACAUUGUAGCUGGAUUAGAGUCCAUCAAGGAAGACUUGAAGACCAUGCAUACAAUCACGAGGGAUUUAAGGACGAAUGCUAGUCAAUUAGACAUUGUGGUACGAGGCGUUAAAAACAAUCUUCUUCACACGCUCGCCGCAUGCAAGACCCAACAUUGCAAACAGGUGUUGAACGACUACAAAGUGAAUCAAAUGUCUGUUCAAGUCGACUUCGACAAGUACAUGGACCGAUAUUUCCCGAAGUUGCCAAACGUCACUUCGGCGUUGCACAACAUCACCAUGUUGAUGAAAGGUAACAUCGUGUCAGAAGUCAGCCAGGGUAAAGAAUCAUUCCUGAAGAUACAGAAGGAUAUUCAGCACGCGGUGAAUCAAACCAUUCCUGUAGUCAGCGCAAGUAUUAGAAGAGCCGGAGUCUUUUUAACCGAUCUGGCUGAUAACAUGACGAUGCUUAUUGACAGAAUAAACGUUGACAUCGAUAAAAUUUAUAUUAAGAACAUGGAUGUUGUUCGAACACACAUUGAUCAAUAUGCGCCAUACAGGUACUAUCUGGGUCUUGGGAUAUCGGGAAUUCUAUUGACCGUUUUAAUGUGUCUGACAUUUGGUCUGUUCUGUGGAAUUUGUGGAAAACGACCUGAUGGUUACGGCGACGACUGCUGCAACAAAGGAUCAGGUGCACGAUUUCUGAUGAUGGCUGUUUGGAUUAUAUUCCUUUUAACGAGCGUUCUAAUGGUAAUCACCGUUGCACACAUGGUUACCGGUGUCCUGGUUCAACGAGCGAUCUGCGAGCCUUUGAAGAAUCCUCAAGACAACCGAAUGUUCGCUCUACUCGACGGAACUGUUCAGAUAAAAAAGUUACUGUAUCGUAAUAAUCCGAAUGCCGACAUAAACAUGAGCUAUAUUCUCACAAACUGCCACCGAAACGAGUCGUUGUACAAGGUGUUGAAGUUGAACAAUCUGUUCGACGUGGACACAUUGCGCGAAUACACUGGCCGUUACGAUAUCAAUAACACCAUCCAACAAUUACGUCGUAAAAUUAGUUUAUCACCGGGUGUGGUGAUUCUCACGGACAGCGCCAAAUCGAAGUUGAACGAUCUCGCGCAGAGCGGUCUCAGCGACAUCAAAUUUUAUCAAUACGCAGAGAUCCUUGCCGACAAUAUCACCAACAUCAACUUAGAACAUUUGGCAAGACAGUUAUGGGAGGUCUCUGCCAAAUUACCCGAAGGACAAGAGGACAUUCGAGUCAGUUUGGAGAAAAAUGCAAUGGACCUGGAACAUUAUCAUAGAGAUUUGGUAGUGCCAAUGUCAACGCUCAGCGAACAGUUAGCCACGAAGGCUUUGGCUCUCGAAGAGAAGAUAAAGUUUAAUCAUAGUUCGAUGGCGGAUGCCAUUCACGACCUCGUUGACGAAGUUACGAAAGCUCAGCAGUUCCUCAACAAAGACGGUCCAGAAUACGUGCAAUAUCUAGCAACUAGAUUUGGAAACGCUUUUCUUCGUCAAGUCGAUGACUUCCUCGAGCGAGUGAUCGAUCACGCGCUAUUUCACAUCGGCAAAUGCGCCCCUGUUUCAAACGCGUACAAUGCCACGUUAGUCGCAGGCUGUAACAGGAUUUUAGAUCCGUUUAACGGUUUCUGGGCAAGUGUCGGAUGGUGUUUAAUCCUUUUCAUUCCAACCAUAGUACUCUGCGUGAAGCUGAGUGCGUUAUAUCAAAAAUCGGACCCUUACCCUGGACCUUUAGUCGAAGCUGAAUAUUUGUAUGACGCGUACGCAGACAGGGAUAACAUACCCCUUACUCAUGUUCACGACAAGAAAUACGUAUCUCAUAGUAGAGACCCUUACGCCAAAUACGAAAGUUACGAUGGGCCUGCAGGAGGAUACAGCGAGCGAGAAAGGGUCAAUGAUGCCCAUCAAAGCACAUCCCAUUAUCACCAUCACUAUUCCAGAUAUUCUGAUGUAGCGCCAAAUUCAACCCCUUCGUGGCGAAGCCACGAAACUACCGCUCCCUCCAAAACUGAACCUCACAAUAAAGUCUUUAGCAUAUCGAUAGAAGCGCAGUGAGUGGGAACCUUGCGGGGGGGCAACUUCUCGCGUCUCUCGAAACGCCUCUGCACAAAUUGUGAUUUUCCUAACGGUGGACCUCCUGGAUAUCAACCAGCUGCAGCUGCUCCGCCGCCUUUGAGCACAGAAUACGAAAGA
rnacentral:misc_RNA from 1 species